rnacentral:rRNA from 1 species
UACGUAGGGUGCGAGCGUUGUCCGGGAUUAUUGGGCGUAAAGGGCUCGUAGGCGGUUUGUCGCGUCGGGAGUGAAAACCCAGGGCUUAACCCUGGGCUGGCUUCCGAUACGGGCAGACUAGAGGUAUGCAGGGGAGAACGGAAUUCCUGGUGUAGCGGUGAAAUGCGCAGAUAUCAGGAGGAACACCGGUGGCGAAGGCGGUUCUCUGGGCAUGACCUGACGCUGAGGAGCGAAAGUGUGGGGAGCGAACAGG